rnacentral:misc_RNA from 1 species
AAUUACUACUAAAUGUGGUUAAAAUCAAACAAACAAGAUUAAAAAAUUCAAUAACUUUGAAUAAUUUGUUCUUUUAAUUCAUUUUCUCCUUGUUUAGUUUUUGUAAAUUUUAUUUUUUUUGUAAAUUUUCAUUUUAAUGAAAUUUUUAAUAUAAUCUCAAUUUGAAAUUGAUUAUGUACCUAGUUUUGAGAGCUCUAAAACUCUCAAAAUGUCUGAAAAAAGACAAUUAGCUCUUUCAAAACUGAACAGUAACAAUUUUAUAUCUGAUCUAAAAAUCAGAUAAUAUUCCAAAGUCUUUUAAAAUUAAACCGAGUUUAUUUUUAAAAUUUUAUAACUUUUAGUUAUAAAAACUCUAAAAUUGUUAAAAUACCUUAAGAUAUAUUAUCUAAAUAG